UACGAAGGGGGCUAGCGUUGUUCGGAAUCACUGGGCGUAAAGGGCGCGUAGACGGCUUUAUAAGUCGGGGGUGAAAGCCUGUGGCUCAACCACAGAAUUGCCUUCGAUACUGUAGAGCGCUUGAGACCGGAAGAGGUAAGUGGAACUGCGAGUGUAGAGGUGAAAUUCGUAGAUAUUCGCAAGAACACCAGUGGCGAAGGCGGCUUACU
rnacentral:rRNA from 1 species